GAAUAUUGGACAAUGGGGGCAACCCUGAUCCAGCAACGCCGCGUGGGCGACGAAGGCCUUCGGGUCGUAAAGCCCUUUUGCAGGGGAAGAUAGUGACGGUACCCUGCGAAUAAGCCACGGCUAACUACGUGCCAGCAGCCGCGGUAAUACGUAGGUGGCGAGCGUUGUCCGGAUUUACUGGGCGUAAAGCGCGUGCAGGCGGUUCGUUAAGUCUGGGGUGAAAUCUCCCGGCUCAACUGGGAGGGGUUCUCAGAUACUGGCGGACUUGAGGGAGGUAGAGGAGAGUAGAAUUCUCGGUGUAGUGGUGAUAUGCGUAGAUAUCGAGAGGAAUACCAGUGGCGAAGGCGGCUCUCUGGACCUUACCUGACGCUAAGACGCGAAAGCGUGGGGAGCGAACCGG
rnacentral:rRNA from 1 species